AACCUAUUAAGUGGCCCUUUGUCCAGGUUAUUUUUGUGGCCAUCUCUUCCACACCUCGAUGCUUUGAAAGAAAAGUAUGAGGAGCACAGGAUAACAGAUGCAGCUGCCUGGUAAAGAAGAUAAAGACUUCCAUUCCACCUAAGUACUGGGUGUGUCCUCUCCGUAAUGCAGCUAUAUUAAGACAGGCAUAUAGGUGUAUAUGACACUCAGGCACAGGACAGACGUGUUCAGUACAUUUACAACUUGCAUGCCCCUUGAGAGGCAAACAUGGUUGGUGUCGGGAUCUGGAAGAUUGCUCUUCUGCUUCUCUCUCUUUCCCUCUUGUCUGACAGAGGGGACAGUGCUUUAUCUGAAGAUAAACUUCAGAAAAUUAUGACAGAAAUGUUCAAGAGGUUUGACCAUCAGGCAUUAAUACAACAAAUGGAAGUGAUAAACAAUAAAAUACCAACUGGGAAGAAAGCUACAGGCAUACAGUACAGUAUUACUCUUCCGCUCUCAAAAGACGACUGUGAGAAAGGACAGCUGGGAAACAACAUCCCUGCAGACUUCACAGACAUCAGGAAAACUCUAGCUGAAGAAAAGGUGUACAACAAAGACAAUGUUGUUGCAGCGCUUCCUCACCAUAUAUAUGACCAAAAUGACCAAUUAAUAGCAACUGACCAUUCUGAAUACAGAGUCCUCAUGGCACUAGAACAACAAAACAUUAGCCCUGGAUGUCUAAUUAUCUACACUUAUUUCAGUCCUUGUUUCGCAAAGUGCCUGUCCAAUAACCAUCAUGCCAAUAUCAUUAAUCUACUCAAUAAUUUAAAAAACACAGACAUUGCAUUAGUUUUUAGUUCACUAUUUCAUUAUGACCGGAACAGCAAUACAAAAGAUCAAAUUUACGAGAAACUGAAAGCAAUCACUGCAGUCCCUGUUUAUUGCUGUUAUGAAGAAGGAGGACGUGUUAUCUGUGCAAAGUUUGAUAAAAAUAAAGAUAAGAACCAGCACUGCCUUUCAGAAAAAAUUGAAUCCAAAAUUCAAAAUACUGUUCAGUGAUUUCUACUGUCACUACUCUUAAAAGCCUGUGCCUAGCCAGAAUGUUGUCCUACUGUAUAUGUCAUACUAAUAUGUUUCCCUUUGUCUAUCACAAAUGUGAUUUCAAAUGCUAAACAGCUUUUAAAAUUGCACACAAUAAAAUAUAUAAAAUAAUAAAUUCAUAAUUUAUAUUCUGUGUGUUAAAGCAAGGGUGGCAGUUGUGCUCCUGGAGGUCCUGUGUAUGUGCAGUUCAUUGUUUCUACCAAAUAACUUGGCUCAGUUAUUAUAAGUAUUGAGUUCUGUACAUGGGCAUCAGUGCACUUGUAUAUUUAUACCACAGUACAAUGUUGUAUAUUGAUACAUUAAAAAAAACACCUGCUGUCAUCUAUGGGCAUAUCAAUAAAUGAGGCUAAAUGUCAGAUCAUGAAUAUGACUGCACUAAUUAAAUAAUUAAGAGUAGAAGUUUUAAAUGCGACCCUCCUUGUCCUUCCCUGGUGUACACACUCAGCAUAGGACGGCUACAUCUUUCAGUAGUAUGUAAUGCCAGAUAAUGACAUGCAAAAGUCCACUAGAUGGCAACAACUGAUUAACCCAAGUUUUUCCAGAGCACCACCUACUUAUUAAAAUGUAUCCAGUCGUCUGUGGCUUCUUUUCAUUCAGCAGUUCACCCCAAGAACUGUGCAGUUAUCGUACUUGAGAACAGUUCGACUAACCCAGUUGGCUAGGGCCAACCAAGAGGAGGUUGACCAAAGAAGUCACAUCUAGAUGACAAGGCAGGGAUACCCUGCCCCCUGUAACUCUACAUACCUGACUUAAGCCAUAUGCAAUUAAUUUGAGCCCCACAUCAGUCAAAGCACUGGAAUGUUCUGGAUUGAUUCUAUGCCACAGAGCAAGACACUGAACCAAGCUCAAUCUGGUUAUAUUACAAAGGAACCUCCAAGUUCACCCCUCUUUAUAGUGCUCGAGGGGUUUGGAUAUUUCACACCACUGUAUGUCCAACAUAAUAACCACAGCUAAAGACAACAUUUACUGCUUAUCAAGAACUGGAGAAGCCAAAGUACCCCC